GGCAUAGUUAAUGAGCAGCAGUACUCGAUGCCAGAGUAACUCGCUGAGCAAAUUCAAGUUGUGCUCUCGUGAGAACCAUGGAUUUCCAGGGUAGAUAAAUAUUUGAAUUGUUGCU